rnacentral:tRNA from 1 species
AGGGGAGUGGCGGAACUGGAAGACGUGCGGGAUUUAGAAUCCCGUGUCACAGGCGUACGGGUUCGAUUCCCGUCUCCCCUACCA